rnacentral:rRNA from 1 species
GAUGAACGCUGGCGGCGUGCCUAAUACAUGCAAGUCGAGCGAAUGGAUUAAGAGCUUGCUCUUAUGAAGUUAGCGGCGGACGGGUGAGUAACACGUGGGUAACCUGCCCAUAAGACUGGGAUAACUCCGGGAAACCGGGGCUCAUACCGGAUAAUAUUUUGAAGUGCAUGGUUCAAAAUUGCAAGGCGGCUUCGGCUGGCACUUAUGGAUGGACCCGCGUCGCAUUAGCUAGUUGGUGAGGUAACGGCUCACCAGGGCAACGAUGCGUAGCCGACCUGAGAGGGUGAUAGGCCACACUGGGACUGAGACACGGCCAAGACUCCUACGGGAGGCAGCAGUAGGGAAUCUUCCGCAAUGGACGAAAGUCUGACGGAGCAACGCCGCGUGAGUGAUGUAGGCUUUCGGGUCGUAAAACUCUGUUGUUAGGGAAGAACAAGUGCUAGUUGAAUAAGCUGGCACCUUGACGGUACCUAACCAGAAAGCCACGGCUAACUACGUGCCAGCCGCCGCAGUAA